CUGCAAUGAACGUUUACUCGGAAGGCUUGAGAAAUCUUUUGAAAUACAUCAAGGAUAACUACGCAAAUCCAGAGAUUAUGAUCAUGGAAAAUGGAUAUGGAGAAGAACUUGGGGCUACAGAUUCGAUUAAAAAUGGUACUGCUGAUCAUAAUAGGAAAUACUAUCUCCAGAGGCAUCUUUUGAGUAUGCAUGAAGCUAUUUGGUAAUUACUAUCUCCUGUAUACGAUCGAUAAUAAAUUUUAUUGAAAAAUCUAAUAAGAAAAUUGAUAUCAAAUCUGCAGCAUCGACAAAGUAAAUGUUACAGGAUACUUUAUAUGGUCAUUGUUGGAUAACUUCGAGUGGCAAGACGGUUACAAGAACAGAUUCGGACUCUAUUACAUUGAUUUCAAAAAUAACCUCACACGUCAUGAGAAAGAAACCGCGAAGUAUAUUAUAAAGGAUUCCUAAAUCCUAAGUGAAGGGACUCGUCCUUCCAUGAUCAAGAGAGAUGAACUUUGAGUUAUAUUUGGAGAGAUUGGAUUGUUUCAAAGUUUUUUUUUUUUUAUGUUUUAGUUUGUGGUUCACCAAGAUGUAUGAGAUCUUGGUUGGAAUAAAAGUGUUUUUCAUUUUUUUUUUCAAUUUACAUUGUCUACGUGAUUUGACAACAUCAAGAAGGUUUUAAACUUUUAAUUAUAAUAAAGUGAUCUCUUUUUAGAACUCCCUAUGUGAAGUUCCAUACUUUUAAACAAAAAAGGUGAAAUAACACAAUGGUGAGAUUUAAUUGGUGUAAUGACGUGGCAUUUUAGUUGACAUUAAUUACGAUUUAGAUAUGUAAAACCAAAAAAUUAAAAUUACUCAAAUAAACAACAGUUUAUUGUAAAAAGUAUGUUGUAUGUCAUGUUGAUAUAACACGAUUAAUUCAUCCCCAAAUUUUUCAAAAAAGCUGAUUCGUAGUUAAUGUAAUUUAUAAAUAUUUCAGUGGUAUACUAAAAGGUAAAAACUAUAGAAAGGUAGAAAAGUCAAAUAUGAAAUAACCAUUGUACGGAUGUCUAAGAGUAGUACAUAAUUUCAUUGACUAAAUACUAAAUAACAAACACGAAACCUAAACGGAGAACUAGUGGUACUAAGUACUAAGUACUAAGUAGCAAACUAAUUAAGCGAACGAUAGAAAGAUAGAGAAAGGUUAUGUUUCCAUUUCACCCAGGUCGUGACGUCACGUCAUUGGGAGAUGAAUGAAAACAAGGAUCCUCCUUCUUCGAGACCCUAAAAGAUCAAGCGACAUGGAUGCGACGGCCUGUUCCACCGCCACGUGUGCUGACUCUGUAUCCGAGGGUCGCGAGGCUGUAACAUGUGAAACCAUCACUAGGCGGGGAGAGAAUCACCGGAAGAUAGUCGUCAGUGUGGCAAGGAAACCUAGAGUCCUUGAAAUGUUGAGUAUACUCUUCUUUCCCCUAUGAUAAAACCAAACAGUAUAAUAACUCCAAAUAAAAUAAACAAAAACAAUUACUAAAACAAGAAAGAAGAGAAAGAGAGCCAAACCUGAUACUUGGCUUCAGAGAUUUCGCAAAUCUUCUUGUACCCAAAGCCGACCCAUAAGAAAUUGUCGUAUUCUCUCCGGAAUCUCUCAGCUGCGACUGAGCUCGUGAAGUUCACAAAAGCGUACCCUAAAUUCGCGUGUUUCCUGUUCAGCAGAAAAUGUUAUCUAUGCAGCAAAAGCAAAAAAUGUUAAGGAAGAACGAGUGAAAGUUUAUUUUGCUUUGGAAUUAGUGGCCAAAGCAAAAUAAAAGACUUUAGUUUGAUAACACUAGAUUUUUUUUGGUAUCAAAUUACUUGUUAACUAAACAGUAAUUCGUUAAUCCUAAUACCCAGCUCUUAAGAUAAUUUGGGAUUGGGUCAAUUAAUUCAAUAUCUCAAGAAAAAUCGGGAGACAGUGAAAAUAUUAUGGUUGAAAAGAAGCAAACCCUGAAAAAUCGUAAUGUCAAGAGCAUUUUAUAAUUAUGAAUAGAUGAAUCAUUAUAUAUUCCUUGCGGCACAAUGAAUAAUUAACAACUAAUUACAAAAGAAUUUAUUAUUUAGUUUAAACCAAAAACAGAAAGUUAUAGCAUUUACUUACACAAAAUCCAUGGGCAAAUAGAGAAAGUCAUAGGAAGAAGGAAUUUGUUGUUGAACUUUGUUCUCUCUACGACAAUGAUUGUUCAAAAUCCUCAGAAGAUCCUUUCGUCUUCCAAAACAAACAAACAAAAAACAAAACGUCUUUCAGGCAUUGGCAAUAACAAAGAUACAUAUUGCAAAACAGGAUUUUGAGACUGAAAACUGACCCAAACAUGUUUGGAAUGUUUCGUAUCAUAACAGAUGUUUGGUCACCAAACAGAGAUUUGAGCUCAGCUUCUUUGGGAGGAGGAAGAGGUUUUCUUGGCAAAACAUUUCGAUUUUUUUGGACCCAAGCCUUCUGCUUCAACAAUCUCGGAGGUAGACAUUUGGGUCGACUGAGCUUUCCCGGCUUAACACUGAAAGUGGUGAAUGAAAGAAAUUUCGGUUUUUGUGAAAGUUCUUGAGCUCGAUUUUUUGGAUAAAAUUCAGGGGCUUUUGGAUUGAGAGGUGGAGCCAUUGAAAAGAUAAACCCUAGGAAAGAAAGCUUGAAGUCAGAGAGAAGUGAGGAUACAAAUAAAAUAAAGAGACUCUGAGGAUAAAAACAAAAUAAAGAAGAGGCUUAGGCGUGGAGGUUUUGGGAGGAACAAGGGAGAAGAGAAGUUGCGGUUUUAGUGAAUGAAAAUGGGUCAGAACGAAAAAGGUUGCAGAGGAAGACAUAACACUCAAUUGAGUAUAUUAUUUUUUCUCAAUGUUUCUGUAUGUAAUGUCUCUCUUGUUCCAAUACUUCUUUAGCUAAAAAAUGGUAGGCUUUUCUAUGGUCAUAUUAAAUGUAUUUGAUCUGGCGGCGUGAUUGAGAGUUUGUCCGCUGGGUUAUAAACGAGUUGUCGAAGAGACGGGUGCAUUCCAAAACAAGUCAGAGUUUUCUUCUUUUUGCUUACAAAAUUGCAGAUUAUCGGUUAAAAGUACUAGUAUUCUGUUUUUUCACCGUAUAUAUUAUAAUAUUACGUAUAUUUUAUGUUGUCUAUUUAAUACAUCUCCAAUAGUAUACAGUAAUUUUUUCUAUAUUUAAUAGUAAAAUAGAGAUAUUCUAUUAUAGAAAUGAAUUUGUACCAAUGGUUUAGUAGAAAAACAACAUUAUUCUAUAUUUCAGUAUAUUAUAAAGUAACUAUAUUAUAGAGUAAACCAUUAAAGCAAAUCUAACACUAUAAUAUAGUUACUUUAUUUUAGAUUGAAAUAUAAAAAAAUUAUUGUAUAACAUUGGGGAUGGUCUAAGGCGGGUUUUUAAAAGGUUAAGUUUUAUCUUAUCUUUUCACUUAUUAAUUAUUAUUUGUUAAUAUGAUAAUUAGGUGUUUUUUAUGCAUUAAUUUUACAAAAAAUCUUUAUUUGCAGAUUUAAUAAUUUUACAAAAAAUUGUAAAUGUAUAUAUAUCAAACACAUUAAAAUAAAUUAUUUUCAUGCUUUUGAAAUACUUUUAAAUAUAAAGAUUUUUAUAUAUGAUAAAUUUUUUAUUUUUAAUAAAAUAUAUUUUAUUACGUAAAAUAAACUUCAAAACAUUGAUAUAUACAUAAAAUUAUAUACAACGAUUUAUAUUUAUUUUUAAAAUAUUAUGAUGUAAAAUAUUUUGGAUAAUAUAAUACAGAAAACUUUUGGAUAAUGAUAAUUAUCAAAUUUAUGAAAUUUGUUUUAAAUUUAUGGGUAAUCAUAUAAUAACAAAUCUAGUAUAAUUAUUUAUUAAAGGUAAUAAAAACUUUAAAAAUUAUGGGGGUGAUUAGUUGGGUUUUAUCUUCAUACUUUAGCUUUAUUUCUUUUUAAAUCACUAAACUUUACCAAUCAUACUGUAGUUUUAUUUUUAAAAGUUAAAGCUUACAUCAAGUUUCAAUUAAUUUUUACCAAUCAUGUUUUAGCUUUAUUUUUAAGCUACAUCAAAAUAAAUAAAGCAAAUCUUAUUAUUUUGUAUUUUAGGCAGAAAACCUACAUCAUCUUUUUAUAGGCUGUAGAAUCUCUGAAAUAAAAAUAACUAUCUAUAAUAUGAAAGAAA